rnacentral:lncRNA from 1 species
CCAUAUUGGGUGAAAACACUUUUUGGAGGAGGCUGAUUUGUUCAGGACUAAAUAAAGGGCUUCCGAUAGAAACGGUUGUAGUGGAUCCCUCCUCUAUUGAGAUAAAAUUGUCCCGAUGAAUUUCCUCAAUUUCCUGCUUUCGUGUUUUCUUCUUCUCAGCCGAUUCCUUCUCAGCUGGUUUCCCGUGAAGUUUCCAGCAUCUUCCACGAAUGUGUCCCGGCUUCUUACAGUAUUCACACCAUGGUCGUCCCUUUCGCUCAGUCACCCGACUUGUGAGAACAGUACCAGUUUCGGGUGAGAGAGAUAUGUUUUCAGCAGGAUUAAGGUUGAGUUACGAGUCACCCAUCAUCACUUUCUUCCUGCUUUCUUCGCGUCGCACCUCCGAGAACACCUCUCUGAUGUUCGGAAGAGGUUUGGUUCCAAGGAUGCGUCCUC